GUUCGGCGAAUACAUGUUGGAAAUUCUGGUCAUGGUGUAUGGAAACCUUUCAUUGGUUGUCGUUUUAAAGAAAGUUCCUGCCGAACCAAUGAAAGGUCACGAUACACUGGCUGGUCACAUGACCGGGGUUUCCCCAAGAUGUCUACGUCGAAGCAGAUUUCUGCUCUGAUUUGAAGAUUUCGUUCCUUUUAAUUGACUAUUUUUCCUUUAAUAGAUUGUUAAGUUUAUACAUUCAUUAAAUAGUAUAUUUUUCUGAUGAAAGGAAUUGGGAGAGCACAAGUAUUCCCAAACGAAAAGGAAGGCAGUACAGGUGACAAAGAUUGAAAGAAGCAGGACUGCCAGGCGUCCCGAAACAACCAAUUUUCAAUCACAACCUAAAUUCAAACACAUUCUUUAUUCUGUGGCACUGAUGUCAUGCCUGACUAAAUUGCAUAAAGUCACAUGUUGUAUUAACUUUAAAACUUGCAGAAAUGCCACACUUGAUUAAUUGUCAGAUGUUUUCAGAAAAACAAUAAGAAACUGUUUGUUUUAAGUCACACAAUUUAAAUUGUCCAAUUUUCACUAUAUCAAAAUAGUCACUUGUUUAAAAUAGUGGUAAAAAUUUUUUAAGCAAGUUAAUUUUUUUUAUAAAGUAUUGGCUAAAGAGUUUUACCAUUUAUCUCAGUCCUAGGUGUAUUUAAAACAUUUAUUUAUAUGAUGUACCAAUAAAUAUUCAUCAGACUUUACAUGGGGGUCCUUAUUUAUAAAAUCUUAUAUUGUUAUCAAUUUUUUUCAUGUGAUGAUUGUAGAAUAAUUGUUUUGUAAGCGAUACCAGCUGGCAGAUCUAGACAAAUUUCCAUAUUUGCUAAUAUUAUAAAGUGGGAAAGGUAAAAUGGCUGUAAAGAUUGGAUGCAUUUAUCAUUUUGCACCCCAAAUAGCGUACUAAGAAGUGACACCUUUAACUGCCUUUUUAUACACAUUAACAGUAGUCAUACCAAUGCAUUGUGCUGAACAUAUGUUAUAACAUUUAGUGUAAGUUUUUUUAAAAUCUUGAAAAAACUGUUGAAAAUCAUUGAAUAGACUAUUGUGAAAUUUUUUACAAUUUUUAGUGGCCCUGAUUUAUCUUUAACAAAUUUUCCAUGGUGAUUACCCUGCUGUUUGAAUUUAGGUUUAAAUAUUCCUGGGAGUAACCUGAGUUGGUCAUAUUGUUUUUAUUGAAUUUUUAAGAAAGAUCAAGACUUGUUAAAAAUGUACCAACCUGAAAAUGAAUAAGUGUUAAUAGAUGCAUUAAUAGCUAAAAUGAAUUUAAAGUAUAAUUUCCCUUUCCAUUUAUUCUUGGCUAAAAACAGCUUAACUGAUUGAAUAUUGGUUGUCCCGGGAUACUGUAUGAUGUAUCCGCAUCAAUGAUCAAAUGGAUUGCAACUUUUCCUGAAUUCAGGAUUGAGAAUAGAUCAUCGUCUAAGCAAGCUUUGCACAGACUUCGGAUUAAUUUUAGUUAGCAAACUCACCAAGAACCAAAAGUAUUUAUAAAAAUCUGUGGUGAACAUACAGGGCACAUAAUAGGAAAGAGUUAAAGGAGAAGAAGGAAACAAAACUAUGCUUUUUAUCCAUCAAACCAAGUUUCAAAAGCAUUUAUUGAAAAGGUAUGGCACUGAGAUGGUUUUGAUGGAUAGUACCUACAAGGUAACCAGAUACGACAACCACCUAUCAUUGGUGGUUGUGCCGACCAAUGUAGGGUACUUUGUCACUGCAGCGCUCAUGAUGGAGAGGGAGACAAUGGAAGGUUACAAGGAGGCCCUCAAGAUAUUAAAAUCCUGGAAUCCGGAAUGGAGCCCUAAUGCAUUCAUUACAGAUUAUGACAGGAGGGAGAUUAAUGCUGUUGAAAUUGUUUUUACGGGCACAAAAGUUUACCUCUGUGAAUUUCAUCGUGAGCAAUCAUGGGGAAGAAAAUUGAAAAAAUCCUCUUUGUCAGAUGUUCUUUCACACUAAUCCAGGGUGGCAGACAAAUUUUUACAAUUACACGGAAAGUAAGCACAAACGGUUGAUGAAGCUAUUGUGACUGGUAGUGCACAGUGAAGCUGUAAGAGGAAAAUUGUGUUUGUACUGGGGGUAAAGGGUUAUUGCCAGAUCAAAGACAGUUGAUAUAUGCAACACUGAGGUUAAAACUUUACGAUCAUUGACAUCUUACCAAACUCACCUAGAAGUUAAGAACUGGUUGGAAAAAACUUGGCUAAGUGAGAAACAGCGAUGGGUCUACUGUUACAGACCUAAGUCGGUGAACUUGCGAAUAAACACAACAAAUGGUGUCGAAAGCCAACAUAACAUACUGAAGCAAAAUUACUUAAGGGAGAUCUUUGAGCUCUGCUAUUGAGAUCAUCGUUAAAGACUUCAUACCUGAUGGGAGAAAAAAGUAUAUACAGAGGAACUUCCAGUGUUUAGACACAUACAGAAAAUACUCUUCUGACGUCCCAUCCUUCCUGCAAAAUUGACCGAAAGGAUUUGUUAAGCAUGUUGUUCAAAGGCUUGGUCUUGUAGAAGAAGAAAGUAUUACACAGUUGGAGGGGGGCUUUGAUGUAAAAAGCUCUGAUGGCUGUCAUAACUACUAUUGUGACAUGGAAUCAGAAUAUCCAAGCUGUUCUUGCCCAGACUUUGACAAAUACAACUGGCCAUGUAAGCAUAUGGUAGCAAUCAUGAUGAUUUAUCCAGGGUUUGGCUGGGAUUUUCUUCCAGACAAUUAUAGAAAUUUACCAUGUUUUGUCAUUGAUGAAGAUGCAAUAGAAGAGAAACUUGACUUAGGGAAUGGAAAAGAAACAGAAAUGGAAGAAAGCAAGACAAG